UAGUACGAGAGGACCGGAGUGAACGAACCUCUGGUGUUCGGGUUGUCACGCCAGUGGCACUGCCCGGUAGCUAAGUUCGGAAUCGAUAACCGCUGAAAGCAUCUAAGCGGGAAGCGAGCCCUGAGAUGAGUCAUCCCUGACCCCUUGAGGGUCCUAAAGGGCCGUUGGAGACCACAACGUUGAUAGGCGGGGUGUGUAAGUGCAGCGAUGCAUUGAGCUAACCCGUACUAAUU
rnacentral:rRNA from 1 species